GGUGCAGGCUGGAUGAUCGCUUCUGUCUAAGGCAGGGGAGGAAAGUCCGGGCUCCACAGGGCAGCGUAGCGGGUAAUGCCCGUCUCCCGCCCUUUUGUUUAGUGUGUUUCGCAUUUUGUAUACAUUAUCAAUUUACAGUGCGCAAUGUCUAUUUUAAAGCGAAACGCCUUAAACAAAAGGGCGGGACGGACCAGAGCCACAGAGACGAGUCUGAGUCGCAAAGGCGCAAAACUAUUAACGCAAAAGCGCAAAGAACUUUGAAAUUUCUACUUUUUUGCGUCUUUGCGUCUACCAUUUAGCGUUUUUGCGACUCAGGGUGAAACGCGGUAAUCUCUACGCGGAGCAAAACCAAAUAGGUCUCGCUAAUAAGAGCGGCCCGUUCAUAAGAGCGAGACGGGUAGGUUGCAUGAUCCUGGCAGCAAUGCCAGGGCUAGAUAGAUGAUCAUCAUCUGCCUAAAAGCAGAAACAGAACCCGGCUUACAGGCCUGCACCUUUA
rnacentral:RNase_P_RNA from 1 species